UGCGCUGGGGCUGGGCCACGUGUCCAGAAACCGGCCCAGCUGAUUGGCUCAUCUGCGCUCCAUCCCUCCCAAGCUGGGGCGGAGCUUGUGGGGCCUGCGCCUUCGGGACUUCGCGGGGAAAUUGCAGACAGGUGCUCCGCGAGGACAAGGAGAGCCGAAGCCGCAGGCCGCUGUGGUUAGAGCCUGUCACAUCGGCGCGGACGCAAGCCUCCGGCAGCCUCCAGAGAGCUUUGACAGUGCUGUAGACGCCUCAACCCACCUGAUGUAUGGAAUCUGCUCCCUGCCGAAUUAAUUUCCUCCCCAGCCCCCGAGAACCUUCAAAGAGCUUGAGUGGGGAAGAGGGCAGACAGAAGGCGAGAAUCUUAAGCAGGCUCAUGGAGCCCGAUAACGGGGCUGGAUCGCACGACCCUGGGAUCAUGACCGGAGCCGAAGCCAAGAGUCAGACGCUCAACCAACUGAGACCUCCAGGUGCCUUGACCACAACACAUCUUUCAUCUCCUUGUGUCCUGCUGGCAGAGUUGGCGAGGAGCCCCUCGGACGCUCCAAACAGGAUUCCCUUCGGAUCUGAAGAGGCUGAAGCUCCUUGGGUAGGAGCGGAAGCCGAGUCCGGAAGCCAGCUGGCCCUUCAUGCUGCUUCUUCAUUAACUUUGAUGAAAUCCCCGGCACAUCGUGAAACGGGUUGGGAGGGCUUCAGUGGAAGAGAGCCCCUGAGAAAUCAGUCUCUGGUUUUCCCUCCCAGUUUGUCAGUUUGUUAAUAUUACAGUGGCCAAAAUAGACCCAAAGUAAAGGCGUGUGUGUGUGUGUGUGUGUGUGUGUGUGUGUGUCCAGCAGGAGCAUGUAGUGUGAAGUGCUCCCACCUCACCAGGAGUGCUCUCCACACGCAUCUGGGGCAUCACUGACAGCCCCCACUCUGGGUAGCCUGCUGAGGGAGAGGGGGUCUUCCUGGUCAUCUGUGGCUCUCCCUCCGUGUGGGGGGCUCUCCGGGAGGCUCCUUCACCAGUGGUCACGCAGGGGAUGGUCUGGCUUCCCCAAUGGAGCCAUCACUCAAGACUCUGUUUCUUUUGUACACAGAGUCUCCUUAUGACUUUAAUUCCUAGCUUUGGGGUAUUUCUUAAGAAGCUGGAAGGAACAAAGUAAAUUCACCUUCUCUGUCCUAUCUAAACAUAAGCCUUGGGCAUUCUUGUUUUUCCUCCACCAUAUUGUUGAAUUGGGAGAAUUUUUAAACCAACGUCAACCUGAUCAUCUUCUGCAAGGUACCAAGAGUUUUCUGAUUUUUCUCCGCAAUAGUUUAUCUACUUUUUUGUAAACACAUCCAUUUACACACUAUAUACGCACAGCACCCCCCACACAAGCACAUGACAACCUCUUCUAAUAUUUGUACUGUUUCCUAUUUAGCAGUAUAUUCCCUUAUUAGAAUACUCUCUGAAAAUUAUUCACACCAAAAACCCUGCAGCUUUUUAAAAGAUGUAUUUCAUUUUUUUCCUUGUGUCGCACAGAAUUAAUCAAGGUUCUAAUGAUUGUUCUGCAGGUGUUAUUUCAAAAACAACAAGUACCCCCCAAAUCAGUAAGUUUACAGGGAGACUUCUGAUUACAGGAGCUGAUGACUAUUAUUUCUAAAAUAGAAGAUGUGAAGUGUGACAGAAAUCAAUGACACGGCCAUUAGGUUGGAGCUAAAUUUACCCAGGUUUUACAUUUGUGAGGUUCUUACCCCCUUCUCUGUAAAUACCACGUUGUGACUUGUGAGUGUGUACACUUGGAUAUUUAUAACUUAUCCUGAUGAUUUGGGGAAGAAUUUGAAAGAAUCAAUGCCCAGAGAUCUACUCAACAAUAUUACUGAGGAGCUGAUCAGUGCAAGGCUUGACCCUGGGCCACGAAGGA